rnacentral:rRNA from 1 species
UAGGUUUGACAUAUAGGUGGUAGUGAACCGAAAGGGGAACGACCCGGAGCUUGCUCCGGGAGCCUAUAC